UUGCAUGUGGAAAUAUCUGCUCCUCAUUCCCUUGGGAGCAGGAGUACAUAUGUAACAUGCUACAUUAACAAAGGAGUUCUCAGGGCUGCCAACUUCACAGUAGAGGUUAAAUGGGAGUAUAUUUCUCUUAUAUAA